UACGAGGACCCCGAGCGUUAUCCGGAAUAACUGGGCGUAAAGCGUGAGCAUCCGGUUUUGCUAGUCUCAUGUUAAAUUUCAUUGCUCAACGAUGAAACCGCGUGGGAAACGGCAAGACUAGUCGGUGUGAGAGGCAAGCGGAACGUGCAGUGUAGGGGUGAAAUCCAUUGAUAUUGCACGGAACACCAAAAGCGAAAGCAGCUUGCUAGCGCACUCGAGACGGUCAAUCACUAAAGCGUGGGGAU
rnacentral:rRNA from 1 species